AGAGUUUGAUCCUGGCUCAGGAUGAACGCUAGCUACAGGCUUAACACAUGCAAGUCGAGGGGCAGCAGGGAGAUAGCUUGCUAUCUUUGCUGGCGACCGGCGCACGGGUGAGUAACGCGUAUCCAACCUUCCCCUUACUAAGGAAUAGCCCGGCGAAAGUCGGAUUAAUGCCUUAUGUUCUCCUUUGCAGGCAUCUAACGAGGAGCAAAGAUUCAUCGGUAAGGGAUGGGGAUGCGUCUGAUUAGCUUGUCGGCGGGGUAACGGCCCACCGAGGCGACGAUCAGUAGGGGUUCUGAGAGGAAGGUCCCCCACAUUGGUACUGAGACACGGACCAAACUCCUACGGGAGGCAGCAGUGAGGAAUAUUGGUCAAUGGGCGAGAGCCUGAACCAGCCAAGUAGCGUGCAGGAUGACGGCCCUAUGGGUUGUAAACUGCUUUUAUGCGGGAAUAAAGUCAGGUACGCGUACCUGUUUGUAUGUACCGCAUGAAUAAGGACCGGCUAAUUCCGUGCCAGCAGCCGCGGUAAUACGGAAGGUCCGGGCGUUAUCCGGAUUUAUUGGGUUUAAAGGGAGCGCAGGCUGGAGGUUAAGCGUGACGUGAAAUGUAGCCGCUCAACGGCUGAGUUGCGUCGCGAACUGGUUUCCUUGAGUGGGUACGACGGAGGCGGAAUUCGUGGUGUAGCGGUGAAAUGCUUAGAUAUCACGAAGAACCCCGAUUGCGAAGGCAGCCUCCGAGUCCUCAACUGACGCUAAUGCUCGAAAGUGCGGGUAUCGAACAGGAUUAGAUACCCUGGUAGUCCGCACGGUAAACGAUGGAUGCCCGCUGUUGGCGACCCACUGUCAGCGGCCAAGCGAAAGCGUUAAGCAUCCCA
rnacentral:rRNA from 1 species